CAAUAUGAAGGUCAGGCUGAAGACCUUACCCGAUUUAGCUGAGAGGUGGUGCAUGGCCGUCGUCAGUUCGUACUGUGAAGCAUCCUGUUAAGUCAGGCAACGAGCGAGACCCACGUCCACAGUUGCCAGCAUACCCUCCGGGGUGAUGGGUACACUGUGGAGACCGCCGCUGCUAAAGCGGAGGAAGGAGUGGGCAACGGUAGGUCAGUAUGCCCCGAAUCUCCCGGGCUACACGCGGGCUACAAUGGUUGGUACAAUGGGCAUCUACCCCGAAAGGGGAAGGAAAUCUCUUAAAGCCAAUCGUAGUUCGGAUUGAGGGCUGCAACUCGCCCUCAUGAAGCUGGAAUCCGUAGUAAUCGCGUUUCAACAGAACGCGGUGAAUACGUCCCUGCUCCUU
rnacentral:rRNA from 1 species